rnacentral:rRNA from 1 species
CUCAAAGAAUUUGAUCUUGGUUCAGGAUGAACGCUAGCUACAGGCUUAACACAUGCAAGUCGAGGGGCAUCAUGGAGUUUGCUUGCAAACUCUGAUGGCGACCGGCGCACGGGUGAGUAACGCGUAUCCAACCUUCCCUAUAGUAGAGGAUAGCCCGGCGAAAGUCGGAUUAAUACUCUAUGUUUUCCGUUGCAGACAUCUAAGAUGGAACAAAGGCUUGCCGCUAUAGGAUGGGGGAUGCGUCUGAUUAGGUAGUCGGCGGGGUAACGGCCCACCGAGCCAUCGAUCAGUAGGGGUUCUGAGAGGAAGGUCCCCCACAUUGGAACUGAGACACGGUCCAAACUCCUACGGGAGGCAGCAGUGAGGAAUAUUGGUCAAUGGGCGAGAGCCUGAACCAGCCAAGUAGCCGUGCAGGACGACGGCCCUAUGGGUUGUAAACUGCUUUUAUGCGGGGAUAAAGUUCACUACGUGUAGUGUUUUGUAGGUACCGCAUGAAUAAGGACCGGCUAAUUCCGUGCCAGCCGCCGC